rnacentral:rRNA from 1 species
CAGUAGCCACGGGAAUAUGAAGGGGGCUAGCGUUGUUCGGAAUUACUGGGCGUAAAGCGCACGUAGGCGGAUAUUUAAGUCAGGAGUGAAAUCCCAGAGCUCAACUCUGGAACUGCCUUUGAUACUGGGUAUCUUGAGUAUGGAAGAGGUGAGUGGAAUUCCGAGUGUAGAGGUGAAAUUCGUAGAUAUUCGAAGGAACACCAGUGGCGAAGGCGGCUCACUGGUCCAUUACUGACGCUGAGGUGCGAAAGCGUGGGGAGCAAACAGGAUUAGAUACCCGCGUAGUCCCUGUCUCUUAUAC